GUAGAAAGGAAGAAACCAAAACACGGGAUUUCUCAUCAGCAAAUUUGGCAAACAUAUCUCUCCCUCACGCGAUUAAGCAAAAACAUAGCCCCCAGUUUAUGCAACUCUCUGAAACCAUAUGGAAAGCCAAAUUUUCUCCUCUGUACCCAUGAACCAAAAGAAACCUUUAAUCUAUCAACCUGUCACUAUCUCAAUUCUUCAUCUCCCAAUUUUAUCCAAAACGGUGAAAUCAACACAGAGGAGGUAGCUUUAAUCAAACAAUUUUGUGGUAUUGGAUCAGAGUUGAAAUCAAAUUGCUGCAGAAGAUAAACAACUGUCAAGCAAGCAAGCUGAAGGGAUUUGACAGGAGAUUUGUCAAAAGAAGGUGAUGAAAGCGCCAAUUUUUUCAAGAAGUGUUUCAAAUCACAACAUCUUAGUUCAACUUGGUCACGAUAAAAAGGGGACUGGAGUUAUUGCUUCUGAAGCCUGAGCAUAAUGCAUAAUGGUUUGCUCCGGUUGGCGUGAGAUCCCAAGGCGCAAUAUUUGCGACACAUUAAUUGCAAUUAUAAUUAUAAUGUAUAUGAUGCACUAUUGUUUAAUGACAACAAUGUUAGUGGUUAUUUGACUACUGGAAAACCAAUAUACAAUUGAGAUAUUAUCAUUGUUCGUAUAAAGGUAUUUGAAAAAAAAAAAUAACAAAAUUGCUAUUGGUCCCAUUGUAUCGACAUGUUUUUGGUUAUUGUUUUAAGAAUCAGACAAA